UGGGGUGCUGCGAAGACGACCGGCAGGAAGCAGCUUUGUCAUUGCUCUCUCAUCAUUCCCGAUGCUGUGGUUCAUUACUUAACGUCAGAUUAAAAAAAAACAACAACAACAAAAACCGUUGGGAGAGCGUACUGGACAAUUUCUGCAGAGCGGACGAGAGGGGUUGAGUUAAAGUUAAACGUUAAAUUUCUUCCGUCUUCCAAAAUAAUUAUUUUCGGAGAAAAUAAGUUGUUUGAACUUGCUUACCUUUGCCCAAAUUUUCGUUUAGUUUCUUUGUGCACCUCUCUUUGGUUCGCCUGAUUUGGGGGGGGGGGGGAGGGGGAGCGCUAGUAUUUUUGAUCGGAAUUUUAGAAGUCAGUAAAUGUAAAAACAGUUCGCCUUAGAGAAGGUGGUUGAGAAUUUGGCUGGUGAGUGAUCGAAAAUGUUGCUGCUAAAAUGUAGGAUUACUCAUAAAACGCACGGCUUGCGAGAAUCUGCUGAGUAGGCAAAGACCGGGAACGUACCGGGGUUGGCGAAGGGGAGAGGAUAAUGAACUGCAGUUGCUGUCAGAGGAGCGCUAUUGUAAGGACCUCAAGCUCUGACUUUGCCUGGUUGGUUCCUUUUUUUUUUUUUUUUUUUUUUUGCAAUGAGUGUUAAAGAGUGAUAACAAGGCGUUAGUGGUUAGUAUACGAUUCAGACUGUUGUGUGUGAAUUCAUUUUAGAUGUGACAGCAGUUGGUGCUAAGGGAAGCUUAAAGUUAUAUUUAAGUUCUUUUCAACUGUUUUACUAGAAAGCAGUUUGGUGUCACAUAUUUAAAAUAAUAAUAGGGCCCUUCAAGUUGACAUUUGUUGUAGUAUAGUGAUUUGGGGAUGUCUUAGGCUAAAUACGUUUCGGGUCCCAAAACCCUGGUGUACCACUAAAAAAAAUAGAUGCUCGAAUGCUGACGAUUGGGUGAGAUGAAAUUCAAAAUUGUUUCCUAAGAGAACUUUCUAGGAAGAGAAACAACUUCUCUAAUGUAGACCACCUCUUGUGUGAUAUCUGCUGUAUAUAUUUUAACAUCUCAACUCAGUGGUUUAUUCCCUGCUCCAUGUUAUUGGUUGUUCUGAGAAAGGGGCUCUUGGAUCCAAGUAGUAGGAAAACUUUGAUUAGAAACAAAAGUUGCAUCUUUGUGUGCUAACCUGUAAUGAAAAUUAACUGCCAAGGGGGCCCGUGGCAUAAAACCUUUGAUAAGAUACCUUGAUCAAAAUAAUUAAAUACUAUUCAACAAAACUCCUUCAUAUAGAGGUGCGAUUUGAAUCAUUGCAAGUGAUUUCAAUGCCUCCACUCUUAAGCUAAGAAUAAAAUAAGAUAGUAACUAACUGAACACUGCAGCGUGCCAGGCACAGCUGCUGUAAUUGAAUUAUCUCUUUGAUUCUUCUCAGUCACUUAAAUAGGUAAGGAGUUUUAUUUUUCACAUUUGGAGUUAAAGAAACUGAGUCCCGGCCUGCCUGUUUCUUGCCCGAGAUCACACAGGUGGAGCAGUGCCUGAGUCCUGAGCUGUGCUGCAGAUUUGCUUACUUCCAGGAUGCUUCUUUAAUGGUGAGGUGUGAGGUGUGAAAAGGGAUCUGCAAAGCCUUAAUAUAAGUAUACAAAAAGCAAUUUCUGCUCAAAGUGCUCUGCUACAAAAUGGAAAAAUCGGAAUUAUCGGUCUGGUAGUUCAACUUGUGGGUAAUUGAAAUAGGACUGCCUGUAUUCUGCUCUUCUUCUCUUCCUGGCCUUCAGAUGUGCCCUUGAACUAGGAACAAAGCCACAAGGCCAUGAUGUCUGUUGUUUUCUUAGCCUGCAUGAUGGGAGUAGAUCUCUUAAGUUAUAAAUAUUCAUUUUCUUCAGUUACAUUUGGAAUGUGGUCUACGCUCAUUUAGACGUUGUGUUUUGUGGGAUAGUAGGUAAUUUCUGAGAUCCAAAGAGAAGAUUGCAGAUAUUUUUGGAUUUCAAGGAAACCUCAAGCUGGGCCACAUUGUUCUGAGUAGUGCUAAGAGAAACAGAACCAUCACCUCUGAUUUAUGAUCUGGAGCAGUAAAAUCUUGUCCAUGUGCCACACACAGUAUCUGUUUGCUCUUGAAACAAUUAGUUUAGAUUGUUGGACUCAUUGGUCCUCAGGAUUCAUAGCUCAGUUUGUUCUAACCACAGUCAUUUCAUUGUGCACUAUUUAAAGUAAUUUGACUUUUUUUUUCUUCGAAGAGGUAGAUGAGAGCAUAGAUCAAAAUGAAUUUUGUGGCACUGACAGGGACUACACGAGAGGACCAUGUCACUUUCCUCUCGUUAUUUGGCAUUGCUUUCAGGUAAUAUUUUUCAUUUGAUACUUACGGUUGGUAUAUGACUAAUUUUUUGUGUGACUGAAUAGGCUAGGCAGUGUCUUCCUUUUCUAUAGUCAGCUCCUUAAGGCAAGACAUUGUCUCACAUUUUUAUUGUCUCCUGCAUAAGCUAGAAGAAUUUUGAAUGAGGAAGAGACUACGUAAUUAUUUCUUAGCUUGUGAACCUUUAUAAAUUGAGUUUGUACAGUCCUCUCUCUCAUUUUAAAACCUAAAAGGAGUGAAAAACAACAACAACCUAAAACUAGGAAAUUGAUUAUUUUGUUUUGCUUUGUUGUUGAUUUCUUCCCCCAGAAGUGGAAGACAUCUGUUGAAUGAAAGGUCAGUUGCCUAAACUUUAAAAAUUAGAUUUUGGGUCAGUAUUUUGAAAACAUGUAAUAUUUGAUUUGAGUAUUCAAGUUGUGGAGAAACGCAGUCAUUUAGAAAUGCAGUACCAGUUGGGGCACCUGGGUGGCUCAGUCGGUUAAGUGUCCGACUUCUGCUCAGGUCAUGAUCUCGCGGUCUGUGAGUUCGAGCCCCGCGUCGGGCUCUGUGCCGACAGCUCAGAGCCUGGAGCCUGCUUCGGAUUCUGUGUCUCCCUCUCUCUCUGGCCCUCCCCCGUUCAUGCUCUGUCUCUCUCUGUCUCAAAAAUAAACAUUAAAAAAAAAUUUAUAAAAAAAUAAAAAGAAAUGCAGUACCAGUUCAAGCAGGACAUACUGUGCCUCUGCUCUCACUCUCAGAUUCGUGUGUGCUUUCUUUGGAACCUUUAAGCACAACAGAUACACUGGCUACUUUCUUAUGGGAGUUGUAAUAAACUUGCCUUCUUUAACUUGAAAUAGUUACAGAUCUGUGGCUUUAGUUUCCAAAUUCUGAUCUAAAGUACCGAAUGCUUUAUAGAAGUGUAUAUAACCUGGCGUGCCCUCUUUGGAUAAUAGCAAGCCUGUGAUGGGGUAAAGGUGGGUAUGGCAUCUCAAUAGUUUGUAGAUCUAUACUUUUCGGUGAGGAUUAACUUACUUUAUAUUUAGAAGUGUGUUGAUAGAUAAAACAGGAGGGCUUUGUCUGGUUCCCCAUCUCUGCUAACCCCCUCAUUGAAGCAAUCCUUGAAUUCUAGAAAGGAAUAUAUACGUACCUUCAACUACUGCCAGGGAUUAACCAGUUUUAAAACGCACCUUGUGCUAAGGGAGAAGCCCUGGUCCACCCCCACCCUGGGAGGGAGGGGAGUGGGGGAGUUGAAAUUCUGUAGAAGAACAGCGUCUGGUGGUUGAGCACAUCUCAGAAGAAAGCACUUUCAGACAAUUUGCAAAAGGAAAUUAGGGUUAGUCAGUUCUCCCACGGUGUUUUUGUUUUCAAUUUGACUGAGGUUAAUGUUAAUGAAGUUUAAAUAAUAAUAAUAACAAUAAUAAUAAUAAUAAUAAUAAUAAAGCAAAGUCAGAUUGUUCCCAAGAUUAUUAUGAAGCCGGUUUUUGGUGGAUCUCUUUGGUGAGGGAAAUUUUGCAUUGCAAAAAGCAUUGCUCUUAAACUGGUACAGAACCAGUUUUGUUCUGUCUUCUGCCCUCCUCAUUUGUGAGCUACCAAUUACCUUGGAAGAAAAUUCACGAAAGCAAAGAAGCUCUGAUUAUUAAAUAUGAGCAGAUAUCAAAGAAAAAUGCUGUGGUAUUUUGGGAAGUGCGGUUCAAGGACGUGAUUUCAAGAAGGAAAUAUUUAUGCAGUAUUUUGACCCAGCGAAUGUCUUCAUUUUUUCCUUUGUGACGCCAUGGUAAACAGUGUCCUUGACAGGAGAGAAACACAGACAGGUCUCUUAAGUGAUUUCCUACUAGUUCAUCCUGAGAGCCAGCCGAGCUUCCUGACUCACCAGACUACAGUUUCUUCCAACAUAAAGAAGAAUUGAGUCAUUUUUUUUUUCCAGUCAGCUGGUUUAUGGAGAUGUUCUUUGGCGAUAUUAACGCACGUGAUCUCUCAAGAGAUUUAGGGGAUUCUUAUGGGAUAGCAUGAAAAGGUGUUUGAUAGUUUCUAUACUCUUUUGAAAAUGGAAUUUAGUGAAUGCUGCAUUGAAGCAAUUUAAAUGUCACAUAUUCUCAGGCAUGAGAAAUGUUCUCUUAGUCACGGAUAAGAGGGAAAUCUCAUUUUGGUGCUGUCGUUCGUUUUGAGCCUCCAAAUCUAUAUAUUACCCAGUAGCUGUAAAAUGCAGGAAAUAAAGCUGAGUAUCUUCGUUACUGCUUUGAGGUACAGCAUACAACUUGAUUGCUUCCAAAUACAUAAACUUAGUUUUCUAUUAGGGAAUUUCUCUAUUUCAUUUGUUUUCCAAGAUUGGCAUAUAAACUCAAUUCCAAAAGCUCCUGUCUUUUAAAAGGGAAAGUUCUGUAUGUGAGUUGUGGUGGGAACUACAAGCAGUAGCAUUUCUGAUGAUCCCUCCGAACUAGUUGGAAAUACAGUCUACAUCUUUAGGACAAAGUUUCUUGACUCAGAAGUAAAAAUGUAACAAACUUGGAUAUCAUAGUCUCUGUUGCAGUUCAGUUACGUUUUAUUGGUAUAGGGUGUGUGCAUAACUUUUACAGCUUAAAUGAUUACCUUUUUUACAUAAGUGAAAAAAAAUGGGGAGAGAACUAAGGCUGUAUUUUUGUUCAUUCCUUUUAUUAUGAGUAUACAUGUAUUCAUUUGCUCAAAAUAAUGCAGUAAGUAGAAGGCACAAUAAUGUUUUGCUGAAAUAUAGAUGUAUCAGGUGGAGUUUAGUAUUAGGCCUUAAAGGGAAAAAUAAGAUUUAUAACUUGCCGUGUUAAUGCUCUAGAGACCCUAAAGUAAAAAUUAACUUCAAAACCAUCCCAGUGCUGACUUUCUGUGACUUGGCAGUGAUCGGUGUUGAGAAUCUUUCCCCUGUGCAAACUUUUCCCUUUUUCUAGCUAUGCCUAGUGAGUUAAAGCUUAACCCAAUGGCCACAAAGCCAGCAGACUUAAUAUCCUGGAAGUCUUGUUCUCUGAUGAAUGUCUGUUUUCUUGUUAUGGUUUAUUGGCUUUGUUUUUAAUUUAACCAGAUUGAACUAUCCGAUUCAAAAGGCUGUUACUCAAGCAGUAAUUUUAUGUCAGAUUUAGUAUGGUAAGAGGAAUCCCAGUAGCGACAUCUUGUCAAAAAGAACGAAAACUAACUGAAGGGGGGAAAUCUAUAGUGUAUUUCGACUGAUGCCUAAAUUGCCUUUGCUUUGGUGUUAGGUGUUAUAUUUCCAAAGGACACCCACAGUUUGACCACAUUGUUAAAAAACUUUUUUUUAAUGUUUAUUUUUGAGAGAGAGAGAAAGACAGAGUGUGAGUGGGGAGGGGCAGAGAGAGAUGGAGUCACAGAAUCUGAGCUGUCAGCACAGAGCCUGACAUGGGGCUUGAACUCACUAGCCAUGAGAUCAUGACCUGAGCCGAAGUUGGACGCAUAACUGACUGAGCCACCCAGGUGCCCGACCACGUUCUAAAGGUACCAAGAAUUGUUGUUUCUCUCUAUUGGCUCAUAUGAUGAUGAAUACUUGGAGACCUGCAGGCCACAUGGUCCUUUGGGUGGGCUGUAGAGAGUUAAGGAUGCAACUCUUGAGUCACUGGCUUGCCUUUAUUUUACCCUACAAGAUCUUGCUUUCUUUUUCAUAUUGCUUACUGCUGGGUUGGCAAUUAAAUAAAAGUAAAAGAAUAUUUUAGGUGCAACGUGGUCAUAUUAAGUUCAAGGUUCUCUUUCAAACUUGACACUAGAAUCACCGGGUUUGGGGGGGGGGGGGUGGUUGCUAACAUGCCGAUUCUACUCCUUUUUUCCCCACCCUCAGAGUCUCAUUAGACAGGUGUAGGGUGGAGCUUGGGUGGGGAGCCCUGCCGGCUCUGAGGCCAGAGGCCCACCCUACUACCCUUUGUGAAAUGGAGUCUGUGUGAGAGAGAUAUAUAAAGUAUAUCAUGUAAAAAAAAUAAAUAAAUUAAAAAAAAAUAUAUAUAUAUAUAUAUAUUAUACAAUGCAAUUACAUUUUGACUUAAUAUAUACUCACAUAUCCUCCUCCCCCCCCCCUUGAAAUAGACAAGAGAUUGGUAGAAAAAGUAGAUCUCCAUCUCUAUUUAUAUAUAUAUUACAAACUGUAUUUGCUAAAGUAUCCAGAUGCACCUAAAUUUAAAAAAUAAAAGGAAAAGGAAGGCAUCAAGAAGUAAUGCCCAAUUUGAUCAUGCAGCACUUUCCCAAGAAUUGUUUCUUUUCAAGGACCUAAAUAUUUAAUUUACCCUUUCCUAUCCAUUCUGGGCUCCUUCCCAAAACUGCUAACUCGCAUUCUGCCACACACACCCCAGUUUAUCAGGUGGCAGUUGUUUUUGUUCCCAGAGAAAAGUUACAACUGUGAAUUGGUCAAUUAUAUCCAAACUCCAUGAAACUAAAAGGUGGUGGUGUUUUGUUUUUUAAACAAUAUACUGUGUCCACUGUUGUUGAACAAAUAAUGUUCAGUAAAAAUUUUAAGUGAGACUCCUACUGGGAAGUAAAUGUUCAAAUUAUAGCAGAUGUCAGUUCCUGUAACAAAAUUCAGGAAACACUUUCUGGUAUGUGGGUGUUGUAACUCUUCAGUUCUUGGAACUUUCCUUCAGGAAACUGUCCUGUCAAAAGCAGAGCAGUUGAUAAAAUAUGUAGCACAAUUCACAAACGGUGUCGUGCAGUGUGAUUAAAUUUUGAUUUGGUGCAUAUGUUUUUGUGGUCAUGAUAGAGCCGAGACUCACGUGACAUUCAUCCCGGACAAUGUGCAUCUGGAUAACUUGUUAAAUCGAUCCCCUCAUUCUCAUUGCCUUAAAAAUGCAGGUGUAUCUGAUUUACUCUGGAUGUGAAUUUUUGGUAAGUGGUAAAAUUAACCAGGCCCCAUUGCUUCAUAUAAAAGAAUGAAACAUGUUUCCUACUUAGUUUUGUGUAGAAAUUACAUAUUUUUGUCUCCUGGUCGAUAAACUGAUAUUUUACUGUAGACAUUUUUAAGUAAGAUGGCCUACCUAGUCAGUUGGUAGCUUUAGCUGUCAUGAGUUCAUGAAAUUAUGCUGUGUGUGUGUGUUUAAAGGCAAACAGAACCUCUUGAAUUAAUAUGCUGAAUAUUAAAUAUUUCUAAAAGUUUGUUAAAAGGGGAUAUUUAGUGGUACAAAAUUCUGGACGGUAACACGUAGCUAACACUCUCUCUCUCUUUCUCUUUAAGUAAUGUUGACCUGCAAUUGCACUUCUAGAAAUUAUGUUUUUCUGUUAUUUUAUGGUCUGUGUAUCUCUCUUUCCCCCCCUCACUUCCCUUUUAGAGUUAAACCAUACUUGUGCUAACUCUCCAUUUUAAAAAGCUGUGUAAAUAUAAACUUUGUACCACAUGGAAGAAAUUAGGCAGCUACAUUUACUGACAUUAGCAUAGUAAAAAUAUAGAAUGGAACCCAGUGUGUUACAUUUGUUUCCAAAACCAAGUUCUAGCUGAAAGUGUUGUAAAGCAUACAGAGAUGAGUAUUGUCUGCUUGUCACUUGAUUUUAGUAAAAUCGAGAGUAAACCAAUUAAACACAGUUUUUUAAAGUGGGAACUGUGCCCAGAAGACAAAAAGCCCUAGAUUGGAAGUUAUAAAAGAUUGAAUUUGGUAGUUUCUAUCUUUUUGUUGAUAGUGUGGGGUUUUUAUAUUAAAACUCAUGAUAGGUGCCUUAUUUUAUUAUUUUUUUAAUGUUUAUUUAUAUUUGAGAGAGAGAGUGCGUGAGAGACAAGGUGCGAGCAGGGGAGGGGCAGAGAGAGAGGGAGACACAGAAUCCAAAGCAGGUUCUAGGCUCUGAGCUGUCAGCACAGAGCCCCAAGCAGGGCUCGAACUCACAAGCCAUGAGAUCAUGACCUGAGCUGAAGUCCAACUGAUGGAGCCACACAGACACCCCAACAGGUGCCUUAUUCUUACAAAUGGCAUCAUAUUUUUCUUAUUUUAACAGUCAUGUUUUUCUAAGGAUAAAGUGAAAAUCAUUAGAUUUACUCACUGUGGACUUUAGUAUGUAGGCUUUGAAAAAAAUCAUGACAAUUCUCAUAAGCCUAGAAUAAAACUUGGUUUCUUCCUGAGGUCACCCAUAUUCUGUGGUGAUAUCCCUCUAAGGUGUUGGUAUUAUCCAUUAUAUUAAAGAGUGAAGUGGAAACUUUACUCCUACUUCGUUUUUUGAUAUCUUGGCAAAUGACUUUUUUUUUUUUUUUUUUUGGCAGGGUGGGAGGGGAGCAGAUUGCUUUAA